AUCGCUUCUCGGCCUUUUGGCUAAGAUCAAGUGUAGUAUCUAGACUCUCAUACAGUUGGAAACAUAUAGUAUGUAGCUUUUCAGACUGGGUUUUUUCACUUAGCAAUAUGUAUAUUGUCCCUCCAUGUUUUUUCAUGAUUUGAUAGCUCAUUUCUUUUUAGGGCUGAAUAGUACUCUAUUG
ensembl:snRNA U2 U2 spliceosomal RNA